UGCUGGAGACCAAGGGAACUGGUCGGAACUGGUCGUCGUUUGGGUGCUGCGGCUGCUGGCUACCGGGCGGCAGGUGCAGACGGAGCUGCGGCUGAAGACAGAGCUUCGGCCGUUGGGCUGUUGUACCCCGCCGGCGUCGGAGGGGGGGGGACGGCUUAGAACCGUAGGUCGGCGACAGAGGGCGGCGGGGAGCGGCAACGGGGGUCGGCGCCGGGGACCGGAGGUCGGGUCGGGUCGGCGCCGAAGGUCGGCGACGGCGACGGGGGCCGGGGAUCAGGAACCGGGGGUCUGGGCCGGGGGUCGGGUCGGGUCGGCGCCGAAGGUCGGCGACGGCGAC
rnacentral:lncRNA from 1 species